rnacentral:rRNA from 1 species
CUCAAAGAUGAUGAGGUUAAUAGGUUCGAGGUGGAAGCAUGGUGACAUGUGGAGCUGACGAAUACUAAUCGAUCGAAGACUUAAUCAAA